rnacentral:rRNA from 1 species
AGUGAACGCUGGCGGUAGGCCUAACACAUGCAAGUCGAACGGCAGCACAGUAAGAGCUUGCUCUUACGGGUGGCGAGUGGCGGACGGGUGAGGAAUACAUCGGAAUCUACUUUUUCGUGGGUGAUAACGUAGGGAAACUUACGCUAAUACCGCAUACGACCUACGGGUGAAAUCAGGGGAUCUUCGGACCUUGCGCGAUUGAAUGAGCCGAUGUCGGAUUAGCUAGUUGGCGGGGUAAAGGCCCACCAAGGCGACGAUCCGUAGCUGGUCUGAGAGGAUGAUCAGCCACACUGGAACUGAGACACGGUCCAGACUCCUACGGGAGGCAGCAGUGGGGAAUAUUGGACAAAGGGCGCAAGCCUGAUCCAGCCAUACCGCGUGGGUGAAGAAGGCCUUCGGGUUGUAAAGCCCUUUUGUUGGGAAAGAAAAGCAGCAGGUUAAUACCCCGCUGUUCUGACGGUACCCAAAGAAUAAGCACCGGCUAACUUCGUG